rnacentral:lncRNA from 1 species
AAAAAUUAAAAAAACAUUUUUCUCUCAUAAAUUCCUAUAUUUAAUGCUAUCAUCUUCCUUGGUAAGGAACUUAAAUCAUUUUUUUUUUUUUCAAUUAUAAAAAGUUAUUAACAUUUUCUGCAUCGGUCAUGACAUUAGUCAGAGCAGAGUCGACGUUGGUCAGGUCAAGUUUUUUAACUCUUUAAAUUAUUUUUUUUUAAAUCUUUUUCUAGUAUCUAUAUAUUUAGUAUUAUAAUCUUCAUUGACAUCAAAUUUGAA